UCGAGAGGCUUCGGCAAUGGGGGAAACCCUGACCGAGCGACGCCGCGUGGGUGAUGAAGAUUCUCGGAUCGUAAAACCCUGUCAGGUGGGAUGAAAAACCAUUCGGUUAAUACCCGAGUGGCUUGACAGUACCACCAGAGGAAGCUCCGGCCAACUCCGUGCCAGCAGCCGCGGUAACACGGGGGGAGCAAGCGUUGUUCGGAUUCAUUGGGCGUAAAGAGCUCGUAGGCCGCUCUGUAAGUCGGAAGUGAAAGACCACGGCUCAACCGUGGAAACGCUUUCGAAACUGUGGAGCUUGAGGCCGGGAGAGGAGAUCGGAAUUCCUGGUGUAGCGGUGAAAUGCGUAGAUAUCAGGAGGAACACCGGUGGCGAAGGCGGCAGUCCUGGACCAAUACUGACGCUGAGGAGCGAAAGCCAGGGGAGCAAACGGGAUUAGAUACCCAGGUAGUCCCUGAGCGGGCUGGCAAGGCGCAU
rnacentral:rRNA from 1 species